UACGUAGGGGGCAAGCGUUGUCCGGAAUUAUUGGGCGUAAAGCGCGCGCAGGCGGUCAUUUAAGUCUGGUGUUUAAUCCUGGGGCUCAACCCCAGUUCGCAUCGGAAACUGGAUGACUUGAGUGUAAGAGAGAAAAGUGGAAUUCCACGUGUAGCGGUGAAAUGCGCAGAUAUCAGGAGGAACACCGGUGGCGAAGGCGGAUCUCUGGGCCAUUACUGACGCUGAGGAGCGAAAGCGUGGGGAGCGAACAGG
rnacentral:rRNA from 1 species